rnacentral:rRNA from 1 species
GAUGAACGCUAGCGGCAGGCCUAAUACAUGCAAGUCGAGGGGCAGCAGGAAUAGCAAUAUUCGCUGGCGACCGGCACACGGGUGCGUAACAAGUAUACAAUCUGCCUUUAACAGGGGGAUAGCCCGGAGAAAUCCGGAUUAAUACACCAUAACAGUGAUCUUGGCAUCAAGGACACUUAAAAGCUCCGGCGGUUAAAGAUGAGUAUGCGUCUGAUUAGCUAGUUGGUGAGGUAACGGCUCACCAAGGCGACGAUCAGUAGGGGAUCUGAGAGGAUUAACCCCCACACGGAUACUGAGACACGGAUCCGACUCCUACGGGAGGCAGCAGUAAGGAAUAUUGGACAAUGCCCGCAAGGGUGAUCCAGCCAUGCCGCGUGCAGGAAGACGGCCCUAUGGGCUGUAAACUGCUUUUACACCGGAGAAAACCCCACUACGUGUAGUGGGCUGAUAGUAUGGUGAGAAUAAGCAUCGGCUAACUUCGUGCCAGCAGCCGCCGCAG